rnacentral:sRNA from 1 species
GUUUUGAUUUUUUCUUCUUCUUC